rnacentral:rRNA from 1 species
GAAGCGGGAAGAGCUCAAGCUGAAAAUCUUCGGAAUUGUGGUCUAUAGGUGCGGACUCGCGCAGCCCCAGGUAUAAAUCCGUUCUUGGAAUUGGGUGCCAGAGAGGGUUAGAGCCCCGUCUUUGACUUGGGUAGCUGUGCGUGGCGAGUCUUUACCGGAGAGUCGGCUUGCUUGGGAAUGCAGGCCAAAAUGGGUGGUAAACUUCAUCUAAAGCUAAAUAUUGGCGAGAGACCGAUAGCGAACAAGUACUGUGAAGGAAAGAUGGAAAGAACUUUGAAAAGAGAGUGAAAAAGGGCUUGAAAUUGUUAAGAGGAGAAGUGAUUGGAGCAUAUCAUACGGCGUGGGGUUCCAGAGACGGGACUUGUCUUGUCUUGCACCAUCCCGCGUUGUUGGUCAGCAUCGAUUCUGUGUGGGGGAGAAAGCCUUUUGCGUUGAUGGCUUCGGCUUGAUCGGAAGGGGUGAAACCUCGGAUGGGAUCGAGGCAGCAAGUCUACGCUUGGCGGCCGGCCCCUUUUGCGGCUUUCUACAUGUUGCACACCCUUUUGGCGUCUGUGGCGUGUGGGGGGUCGAUAGGAGGGAGCGCUGGACCUGUAGACUUAAGAUGCUGGCACAAUGGCUUCAAUCAGCCCGUCUUGAAACACGGACCAAGGAGUCUAACACGUAUGCGAGUAGUAAGGUGGCAAACCUUGGAUGCGCAAUGAAAGUAAAUGUAGGUGGGAUCCGCAAGGUGCACCAUCGACCGACCAGGAUCUUUUUGUGAAAGGUUUGAGUAAGAGCAUAUUUGUUGGGACCCGAAAGAUGGUGAACUAUGCCUGAAUAGGGUGAAGCCGGAGGAAACUCCGGUGGAGGCUCGUAGCGGUACUGACGUGCAAAUCGUUCGUCAAAUUUGGGNAUAGGGGCGAAAGACUAAUCGAACCAUCUAGUAGCUGG